AUGCCGGCGACGACGGGGAGCGCCAGGCGGGUGGCCGUGCUCCGCUGCAUCGUGGCCGCGCUGGUCGUCACCGUGCUCCUCGCCGGCCUCGUCGUUCUCGUCUUCUGGCUCGUCGUCCGCCCCAAGCCCAUCGAGUACAGCGUCGCGCGCGCCGCCGUGCGGCACUUCAACGUCACCGCGUCGCCCGGCGGCGGCGGCGGCGCCACGCUCAACGCCUCCUUCUACCUCACCCUCGCGGCCGACAACCCGAACCGGCGCGUGUCCAUGCGCUACAAGUCGGUCGCCGUCUACGUGCACUACGGCGCGGGCGAGGUGGCGCCUCAGCUGGCGGUCGCCGACGUGCCCGACUUCCACCAGCCCAGCCGGAACGAGACGCGGCUCGAGGUGCGCGCCGUGGCGCGGUCGGCGCCGGUGCCCGACUGGACCGCGCGGGAGCUCGAGCACGACCGCUCCGACGGCGAGGUGGGCGUGGAGGUGCGCGUCACCGCGAUCGUCCAUUUCCUGGUCGGCGGCGUCAAGUCCAGGCACUACAACAUGCGGGCGGUCUGCUCCCCGGUGGUCAUCGGCUUGUCGCCGUCGUCGGCGCACUCCUUCCGGGGCGUGCCUUGCGACGUCGCAAUUUCGUGA
rnacentral:rRNA from 1 species